CAACCACUGUAUGGACUGAAAUCGUAAGAUGCUGUUCUUUUAUUAACUGAGUGAGUUAAACAACUUGGAAUAAAUGAUGAAAGCCGUCACAAAGCUGAACUUAGUCUGGAUCAUUGAGCUCGGAAUACAACGAGAAAAACGAGGAAGUAACUGAACGGCUUGGUGGCGCAUAAAAAGAUGACCCACACCUAUAGCUCCAGUGCAAAUCAUGUGAGAGCCAAAAUCUCCUCCCUGUAUUGAUUGUCGGUGGACAAGCGGCCAUGUACUCCUCUAACGGAAGCGACCUCUUUAAUGUGACUACUACUCCUUCUUCCAACCCGGGGCCCGGUCGGGCGGCUGUAAUACGAGCCGCUGCUGCCAUGAUUAUCAUGGCGCUAGGCGUCCUGGGAAAUGGGACGAUCAUUGCUGUUAUUGUGAGGACCCGUUCACUACGCAACAUAACAGGUGUGUUCCUGGUGAAUUUGGCUGUAGCCGAUCUGUGCGUGGCUAUGUGGACAUUACCUUUCAUCAUAGAUGCAGCGCUGUUUGGAUGGUGGAGGUUUGGGAAUACCUGGUGCCAGGCAUCAGGAUUUUUAGAGAUUCUCUUCACCUCAGCCUCAGUGUCCACCCUUGGCCUUAUCAGUUACGACAGGUUAGUCCAAGAUGAUAGUACAUGGUCGGUUAUGCAGAAAUUAUAUUAGCUUACCAUGGUGCAGUUGCGCUUCAACAGAAGACAAAUAUGAGGCGAAAUAGACACACAUGAGUAUUUGGAGCUUGUAUCCAGUCAUGGACGCUAUAGAAUAUGUUUUACAUUAAAUAGGAUUAACCUGCCGAAAAGGUGUCCUUAAAACGCGGCCUUACGAACCAUGAUAUAUGCGGUUUAUUUCAUUAGAAAUUCAGUAUUCUGAUUUCUUUCAGAAAUAAACAGCAGAUUCGUAUAAAACGAUAGCUAUCACAAACAAUUAUCAUAAUAUCGUAAUUAUCAAUAUCUCGUCCAUGCAUUGAUUGACGUCAUUAACGUCCGGCCAGUUUAAUCCGUCUGCGCGGACGAAAAAUCCUAGGGUAUUUCAGGGUUUUUUGUCCGCGGGCAAAAAGAACGGGUUGAGUGGACGAAAAAUCCGCCGAGGGGUGGACGUUUUCUCCAUGCGUAGUCUUUGUUUUUCAGUCGUCAUAACACAUAAGGCUUCAUGUUUUGCACAGCCUGUCAGCCUCUCCGUAUAUUAGACCGCGUAUUAGCGUACCAGGAAAACUACCCCCAAUAGGGUUAGGUGUUUACUUAAGGGGAGUAAGGGGUAAAUUCAUUAUCAGGCAAGGUGCUGGUGUUAGGAUGAUUCAGCUGUUUUGGGGAUUCUCGAGAAUUAAAUGCUUUACAUACACAACAAACUUUGCAUUAAAGGUCAUAAUGAGAUCACUCAUUAUCAGGCAAACAUUUUACUAUUUGCCCCCAAAAUCACGUUUUCAGAACUCCGAACUGUCUGAAAAAAACAGUAAUGGACUGUAACUCAGCUGGAUGUUAUACAUAGGCGGAUCCAGGGGGCCGAGGGGCCCGCCCCCCCCCCCCUAUUGGCGGAGCAAAAAAAAUAAAAAAAGGGAGAAAGAAAGAAAAAAAUAAAAAGAAGGGGAAAGAAAUGAGGAAAAAAAGAAGAGGAAAAAUAAGAGGAGGGAGACGAGUUAAUAAAAUAAGGUCAGGGGAAGACUUGGAAAAUGAUUUAAAAUAUAUAUUUCAUGUCACUUUAUUAAAUUUUCGCUCGCGCUUCGCGCUCGCAUAGCCUGUUCGAUGAAAUACAUAUCUUGCUCAAUAGGCUGAUAUGUAUAUAGUUCCAAAUACCAAGUUUUGAAGUCAAUAUACAAAACAUAUUUCAGCUCGGACAUCGAGCUUUUAUUAUUUUGUUUGAUUUACAAAUUGAUUUUUCUUUAAGUGCUCUGUAAAAUGUCUGUAUUAUGGUGUGAAUAUAUACCAUUUGCAGCUUUUUGCGCUGUGCACUCGCAUUAUUUGAUUUGCCAAGUAGGCCUAUACAUAUUGUCUUUGUUUAUUCCAUAAGAUUCUUUAUAUAUUAAUUAUAUAACAAACUACUUAAAAUCCCCCUUUAAUGACAGUUUAUAAAAAAAUUGGUCUCACGAUUUGCGCUCGCAUAAAUAGUUAAAAAUAUAUCAACUCAUAAGUCAUAUUCAUGAUUUAAAAAAGUGGGUUAAAUAUCCAGUUUUCCGGCCUCAAAUUUCAAAGAAUUUCAAAAACUCGUUAGGCUUAUUCAGUGUUAAACAAACAUGAGAACGCUGCCUCAUGCAUUACCAGGGGGAAUCCUUAGUUGUUUUCCACCAGUCACUGGGAGUUUCGGCCCGUUAGAAACAAUACUCCCUCUUGGUGGUGGGCCAGCAGUGCAAAGCACCACCUUCCCCGCUGGUAACAAGAAAAA